AACGAACGCUGGCGGCAUGCCUAACACAUGCAAGUCGAGCGAGACCUUCGGGUCUAGUGGCGCACGGGUGCGUAACGCGUGGGAAUCUGCCCUCUGCUACGGAAUAACUCGGGGAAACUCGUGCUAAUACCGUAUGAUGUCGCAAGACCAAAGAUUUAUCGGCAGGGGAUGAGCCCGCGUAGGAUUAGCUAGUUGGAGAGGUAAAGGCUCACCAAGGCGACGANCCUUAGCUGGUCUGAGAGGAUGAUCAGCCACACUGGGACUGAGACACGGCCCAGACUCCUACGGGAGGCAGCAGUGGGGAAUAUUGGACAAUGGCGCAAGCCUGAUCCAGCCAUGCCGCGUGAGUGAUGAAGGCCUUAGGGUCGUAAAGCUCUUUGUGCGGGAAGAUAAUG
rnacentral:rRNA from 1 species